rnacentral:rRNA from 1 species
UACGGAGGGUGCGAGCGUUGUCCGGAAUCAUUGGGCGUAAAGGGCGCGUAGGUGGCGGGACAAGCGUGCGGUGAAAGCCCGGGGCUCAACUCCGGAAUUGCCUUUAAGACUGCAUCGCUAGAAUUGUGGAGAGGUAAGUGGAAUUCCGAGUGUAGAGGUGAAAUUCGUAGAUAUUCGGAAGAACACCAGUGGCGAAGGCGACUUACUGGACACAUAUUGACGCUGAGGUGCGAAAGCGUGGGGAGCAAACAGG